rnacentral:rRNA from 1 species
GGGUCAGUAGGUUGGUCGUGCCACCGGUACGUACUGGUCUCACUGAUUCCUCCUUCCUGAAGAACCGUAAUGCCAUUAAUUUGGUGUUGCGGGGAAACAGGACUGUUACUUUGAAAAAAUUAGAGCGUUUAAAGCAAGCUAACGCUUGAAUACAUUAGCAUGGAAUAAUGAAAUAGGAGGAUCGAUCCUAUUUUGUUGGUUUCUAGGAUUGACGUA